GAUGAACGCUGGCGGCGUGCCUAAUACAUGCAAGUCGAGCGAACAGACGAGGAGCUUGCUCCUCUGAUGUUAGCGGCGGACGGGCGAGUAACACGUGGAUAACCUACCUAUAAGACUGGGAUAACUUCGGGAAACCGGAGCUAAUACCGGAUAAUAUAUUGAACCGCAUGGUUCAAUAGUGAAAGACGGUUUUGCUGUCACUUAUAGAUGGAUCCGCGCCGCAUUAGCUAGUUGGUAAGGUAACGGCUUACCAAGGCAACGAUGCGUAGCCGACCUGAGAGGGUGAUCGGCCACACUGGAACUGAGACACGGUCCAGACUCCUACGGGAGGCAGCAGUAGGGAAUCUUCCGCAAUGGGCGAAAGCUUGACGGAGCAACGCCGCGUGAGUGAUGAAGGUCUUCGGAUCGUAAAACUCUGUUAUUAGGGAAGAACAAAUGUGUAAGUAACUAUGCACGUCUUGACGGUACCUAAUCAGAAAGCCACGGCUAACUACGUG
rnacentral:rRNA from 1 species